rnacentral:rRNA from 1 species
UGAUUAUGGCUCAGAUUGAACGCUGGCGGAUGCUUUUAUGCAAGUCGAACGGCAGCACGGACUUCGGUCUGGUGGCGAGUGGCGAACGGGUGAGUAAUGUAUCGGAACGUGCCUAGUAGCGGGGGAUAACUACGCGAAAGCGUAGCUAAUACCGCAUACGCCCUUCAGGGGGGAAAGCGGGGACCUUCGGGCCUCACUAUGCGGCCGAUAUCGGAUUAGCUGAUUGGUGGGGUAACGGCUCACCGGGCGGCGAUCCGUAGCUGGUUUGAGAGGACGACCAGCCACACUGGGACUGAGACACGGCCCAGACUCUACGGGAGGCAGCAGUGGGAAUUUUUGGACAAUGGAAACCCUGAUCAGCCAUCCCGCGUGUGCGAUGAAGGCCUUCGGGUUGUAAAGCACUUUUGGCAGGAAAGAAACGGCACGGGAUAAUACCCCGUGCAACUGACAGUACCUGCAGAAUAAGCACCGGCUAACCGUGCCAGCCGCGGUAAUACGUAGGGUGCAAGCGUUAAUCGGAAUUACUGAACAAAGCGUGCGCAGGCGGUUCGGAAAAGAAGAUGUGAAAUCCCAGAGCUUAACUUUGGAACUGCAUUUUUAACUACCGAGCUAGAGUGUGUCAGAGGAGGUGGAAUUCCGCGUGUAGCAGUGAAAUGCGUAGAUAUGCGGAGGAGCCACCGAUGGCAGCAACCCUCCUGGGAUAACACUGACUCAUGCAGCGUGAGGCAGGCAGUUAGAUACCUGAGCAGUCCGCCUAAACGAUGUCAACUUGCUGUUGGGGCCUUCGGGCCUUGGUAGCGCAGCUAACGCGUGAAGUUGACCGCCUGGGGAGUACGGUCGCAAGAUUAAAACUCAAGGAAUUGACGGGGACACACAAGCGGUGGAUGAUGUGGAUUAAUUCGAUGCAACGCGAAAAACCUUACCUACCCUUGACAUAUCUGGAAUCCCGAAGAGAUUUGGGGUGCUCGCAAGAGAACCGGAACACAGGUGCUGCAUGGCUGUCGUCGGCUGUGUCGUGAGAUGUUGGGUUAAGUCCCGCAACGAGCGCAACCCUUGUCAUUAGUUGCUACGAAAGGGCACUCGUGAGACUGCCGGUGACAAACCGGAGGAAGGUGAGAUGACGUCAGAAUCCUCAUGGCCCUUAUGGGUAGGGCUUACGUCAUACAAUGGUCGGGACAGAGGGUCGCCAACCCGCGAGGGGUAAUCCCAGAAACCCGAUCGUAGUCCGGAUCCGCGAUCACGCUCGACGUGAAGUCAGAAUCCUUAGUAAUCGCGGAUCAGCAUGUCGCGGUGAAUACGUUCCCGGGUCUUGUACACACCGCCGUCACACCAUGGGAGUGGGUUUUACCCAAGUGAUUACCACAGUAGGAUUCAUGACUGGGGUAGAGGAAGUCGUAACAAGGUAG